GACGAACGCUGGCGGCGUGCUUAACACAUGCAAGUCGAACGGAAAGGCCCUGCUUUUGUGGGGUGCUCGAGUGGCGAACGGGGGAGUAACACGUGAGUAACCUGCCCUUGACUUUGGGAUAACUUCAGGAAACUGGGGCUAAUACCGGAUAGGAUCUCCUGCUGCAUGGUGGGGGUUGGAAAGUUUCGGCGGUUGGGGAUGGACUCGCGGCUUAUCAGCUUGUUGGUGGGGUAGUGGCUUACCAAGGCUUUGACGGGUAGCCCGCCUGAGAGGGUGACCGGGCACCUUAGGACUGAGAUACGGCCCAGACGCCUACGGGAGGCAGCAGUGGGGAAUAUUGCAGAAUGGGCGGAAGCCUGAUGCAGCAACGCCGCGUGCGGGAUGACGGCCUUCGGGUUGUAAACCGAUUUCGCCUGUGACGAAGCGUGAGUGACGGUAAUGGGUAAAGAAGCACCGGCUAACUACGUG
rnacentral:rRNA from 1 species